rnacentral:rRNA from 1 species
CCCUUAGAUGCUCUGGGCCGCACGCGCGCUACACUGGUCGAUGCAACGAGUUUCUUUCCUUGACCGACAGGCCUGGGCAAUCUUUGAACAUCGAUCGUGAUCGGGAUAGAUUCUUGUAAUUUUUGAUCUUAAACGAGGAAUUCCUAGUAAACGCAAGUCAUCAGCUUGCAUUGAUUACGUCCCUGCCCUUUGUACACACCGCCCGUCGCACCUACCGAUUGAAUGGUCCGGUGAAAUCUCCGGACUGGCGUGAGUCGGAGCAAUCUGACAAACACCGGAAAGUUGAUUAAACCUUACCAUUUAGAGGAAGGUGAANUCGUAACA